UACGAAGGGGGCUAGCGUUGCUCGGAAUCACUGGGCGUAAAGGGUGCGUAGGCGGGUCUUUAAGUCAGGGGUGAAAUCCUGGAGCUCAACUCCAGAACUGCCUUUGAUACUGAAGGUCUUGAGGACUGGAGAGGAGACUGGAAUUUACGGUGUAGCGGUGAAAUGCGUAGAUAUCGUAAGGAAGACCAGUGGCGAAGGCGGGUCUCUGGACAGUUCCUGACGCUGAGGCACGAAGGCGUGGGGAGCAAACAGG
rnacentral:rRNA from 1 species